rnacentral:rRNA from 1 species
UCCUAGCCGUAAACGAUGGACACUAGGUGUUGGGAGCAUCGACCCUCUCAGUGCUGUUCUGCUAACGCGUUAAGUGUCCCGCCUGGGGAGUACGGCCGCAAGGUUGAAACUCAAAGGAAUUGACGGGGGCCCGCACAAGCGGUGGAGCAUGCGGGUUAAUAGGAUGAUACGCCAAGAACCUUACCAGGGCUUGACAUCACUCGGACAGCCUGUGAAAGCAGGUCUCCUGGGCA